rfam:Aneurinibacillus sp. XH2, complete genome.
AAGCACUACUAGGGGAGCCCGAUGAGCCGGGCUGAGAAUGAAACGCGAUGAAGUUUCUAAACUCUUGGGACCUGAUCUGGUUCGUACCAGCGUAGGAAAGUAGUAGGCAUUUAAU